rnacentral:rRNA from 1 species
GGGCCCGCACAAGCAGCGGAGCGUGUGGUUUAAUUCGAGGCUACACGAAGCACCUUACCUAGUCUUGACAGGGAUGUGAACGCGGGUGAAAGCCCAAGGUGAGCAAUCCACAUCCACCGGUGCUGCAUGGCUGUCGUCAGCUCGUGCCGUGAGGUGUUAGGUUAAGUCCUGUAACGAGCGCAACCCCCGGCUGCAGUUACACGUUGUCUGCAGCGACUGCCCGUGACAAGCGGGAGGAAGGUGGGGAUGACGUCAAGUCAGCAUGGCCUUGAUGACUAGGGCUACACACACGCUACAAUGGCCGGUACAAUGGGUCGCCAAGCCGCAAGGCGGAGCCAAUCCAGACAAAGCCGGUCUCAGUUCGGAUUGCGGGCUGCAACCCGCCCGCAUGAAGUCGGAGUUGCUAGUAACCGCGCGUCAGCCAUAGUGCGGUGAAUACGUUCCCGGGCCUU